AGGGCCAAUCCUCCCUCUGAAGCAGCAGAACGAGGGGAAACCCCCUUGUGCCACCUCCCUCCCCGAUCUCCUUUUUUCUUCUCCAUCGCCCUUUUAAAUUCCUCAAAGGCUCCGAGCGCGCACGCAGAGGGAGGGGGGAACCCACGCGGGACCUCCCACGCGAGUGGGUCGGCGGGGAGAGAGGAGAAGAGAGCGGAGAGAGGAAGAAGGGAACGCAAUGCCCCCCCCGCCCCCCCUUUAACCACAGUUCUCUGCCCCCCUCCCGUCCCGCGAGCACCCCGCGGACACGCGUGGGGGUCCUCCUCACCUUCCUCUUGUGCCGAUGGAUGUCCCCGAUGGAGUUGGCCACGGUGUUGGGUCCCAGCAGCAUGCGGGUGCUGCGCGGCCAUUCGGUGCUCACCAGGUGGUGUUCCCCCAUCAGAAUCUUCCGCACGUUCUCCGCUCCCGUCACCCUCACCAGCGGCCGCCCCAAAAGACUCAAUUUACUCGAAAGGCUGCGCUUUGCCUAACUCGAUCUGCAGAUCCGCGCAGCCCUUUAAUAACUUUCCCACAUGCUCCCAGGGCUUUUGUCGGCGAACAGCCGGAUGGAGCCGGGGAUGGAGAAGGGGGAGACGAGCCGGGUCCCCCCCCCCUUCCCCCUCCCCAAAGCCGAACCGGGCUGGGAGGACCCCGCGAGCAGCGCAGCGCGCGUGUGUUUAUUUUGAAACAAAAGCGCGGUUGUGAUUUUCAGAUGUUCAGGUGACCCCGUUUCUUGAUCUGCGUAAAUAUAAUUAAAAAGUCCUUUUUGUGGCAUUAAUAAAGAGUUAUUUGUACACCA